rnacentral:lncRNA from 1 species
CCUCAGUAGGUUUUAAACAGAGUUUAAACAUACUUAGAAGGAUUGCUUUGGCUGUGCUGUGGAGAGUAGACUGGAAGUGACAGGUGGCAGGAGCACAAGAGGCAGAGCCUUGAGGUAGCCCGUGCAGCAGCCGGGUGAAGAGUGCAGGUGUCUGGCAGUCAGACUGUGAGAAGCAGGAGAAUUCUGGGUCUGUUUUGAAGUUGACAGAAUUUGAUGUCUGGAGCCAAGGACAGGGAAGUGUCAAGGAUAGCCUGAGAAACACAGGCCAUGCCAUUUACAGAGGUGACUGAGGGAAAAGGGACACUCAGGGCUCUGUCUGAGACACCUGUUAGUUGAUCAGGUGGAGACACCAGACAGACAGCUAGAUACAGGAGUCUGGAGGGGUUGGAGCUGGCCGUUCAGGUUACAGUUGAUCUAUGAUAUGAUAGCACUUUUGGCAGUAUGUGUUUCACAGAGUUGUUUUAUGUAUGAAAAAUAUUCAGUGAUUUUUAAAUUUUUUUUUUAUGAACUAGAACAUUUUCUGUGUUCAAUAAAUCAAUGAAUAAAUAAUGCUAUGGUCUCCAAGGCGCUUUUCUCUUUCUUCAUCUUUGUCUUCUCCUAACAUGACAGUCUCUACAUCUCUUUAGAUACCAUAAUUCAGAAGUUGUGUUAUUUUCAGUCAUUAUAGGUUGAUACUUACAAGCCCAAAGUUUCUAUUUGAGUUUGUCAGAGUAUCUUCAUGAAAGAACAAAACAUUUAUAAAGGUACAUAAUUCCAAGUUUUAAUUGUCAAAUAAAAUAAAUUUUGAGGGCUGGGGAUGUGGCUCAAGCGGUAGCACGCUUGCCUGGCGUGCGUGCGGCCCGGGUUCGAUCCUCAGCACCACGUACAAACAAAGAUGUUGUGUCUGCCAAAAACUAAAAAAUAAAUAUUAAAAUUCUCAAAAAAAAAAAAAAUUUUGAACUGAUACAUGGUAGAGUA